rnacentral:rRNA from 1 species
ACACGUAGGGGGCGAGCGUUGUUCGGAAUCAUUGGGCGUAAAGGGCGUGCAGGCGGUCGUGCAAGUCCGGCGUGAAAGACCCCGGCCCAACCGGGGGGACGCGCUGGAAACUGCAGGGCUUGAGUACAGGAGGGGAUGCCGGAAUUCCAGGUGUAGGGGUGAAAUCUGUAGAUAUCUGGAAGAACACCAAUGGCGAAGGCAGGCAUCUGGCCAUGUACUGACGCUGAGACGCGAAGGUGCGGGGAGCAAACAGGUUUAGAUACCCUGGUAGUCCGCACAGUAAACGAUGUGCACCAGGUGGCGGGGGGUCGACCCCCGGUACCGUAGCUAACGCAUUAAGUGCACCGCCUGGGGAGUAUGCUCGCAAGGGUGAAACUCAAAGGAAUUGGCGGGG